rnacentral:rRNA from 1 species
UACGGAGGGUGCGAGCGUUGUCCGGAAUUACUGGGCGUAAAGGGCGCGUAGGCGGCCUUCUAAGUCGAACGUGAAAUCCCCGGGCUCAACCCGGGAACUGCGUCCGAUACUGGAAGGCCUGAAUCCGGGAGAGGGAUGCGGAAUUCCAGGUGUAGCGGUGAAAUGCGUAGAUAUCUGGAGGAACACCGGUGGCGAAGGCGGCAUCCUGGACCGGCAUUGACGCUGAGGCGCGAAAGCCAGGGGAGCAAACGGG